rnacentral:rRNA from 1 species
CCUACGGGUGGCAGCAGUGAGGAAUAUUGGUCAAUGGUCGGAAGGCUGAACCAGCCAAGUCGCGUGAGGGAAUAAGGUACUAAGGGUCGUAAACCUCUUUUGUCAGGGAGCAAAGGCGUCCACGUGUGGACGAGAGGAGUGUACCUGAAGAAAAAGCCUCGGCUAACUCCGUGCCAGGAGCCGCGGUAAUACGGAGGACGCGAGCGUUAUCCGGAUUUAUGGGGUUUAAGGGGUGCGUAGGCGGAGUGUCAAGUCAGCGGUAAAAUUGCGGGGCUCAACCCCGUCGUGCCGUUGAAACUGGCGGCCGUGAGUGAGAGAGAAGUAUGCGGAAUGCGUGGUGUAGCGGUGAAAUGCAUAGAUAUCACGCAGAACGCCGAUUGCGAAGGCAGCUUACCGGCGCCCAACUGACGCUGAGGCACGAAAGCGCGGGUAUCGAACAGGAUUAGAUACCCCAGUAGUC